AGUGGACACAAAGGGAAUCAAACUGGCGUGUUGGAAGGACUAUGGACUCUUGUUGGAUAUUUCUUUUGCAAUUUAUGGAUUCAAAGAAAUGCGUAAAUCGCAAAAAUUAUGAAUUCACAAAGGGAUCCUGAUCCACCAGGAUAUCCUGGGUUCUUACGCAACACUGGCCCAGCCCUGCUGGUGAUGGGAAACAACCCUGCAUUGCAGCACACAAAAUGGCAACAAUGAGGCUGCAGCUGCUGUGCCCGAUUAUUAAAAUGGUUGUAUUGUAUAUAUUUAAUAUUAUAAGACAGUUUAGUCCUUUUGGAGAUCCACUUUGAAAUGUUUAAAACACUACUUUCAUAUAGGUUUAAGCAAGAAAGUCCCACGAUUCAUCCAUUUUUCUCCACUUAGGCGUGUCAAGGGAUCCUCAGAUGUGCCCUGUCUGCAGAUACCCCCUUCCAGCUCCUUCGGGGGGUCCUGCAGGCAUUUCCAGGCCAGCUGUGAGACAUGUACUCCCUACAGCUAGACUGAGGUCUGCCCUGAGGCCUUCAAUGUGCGUACGAGGAACCAAUCAGAAAUAGAGGCCCAGGCCAGCAUGAUUACCAACUGCGGACCAAUAUGUAAAGCUUGAGGGGAAGCUUUGUAUCCCUUUCUUCCAGGACUUCAACGAGAGAAUUAAAUGUUCUUUUGUCCUACCAAACUUGAGAUUGUCUUUGAAUUUCACCUUGACUUUUUUUAAUGCCUCUGAUUAGUUGAUUUUUGUGUUUGUAGCUUGUUUUUAUUUCUGUAUUGUCAUUGUCAAGGCUUCUGAAAAUAAAGCACGUUUGUAGUAAUUAA